rnacentral:rRNA from 1 species
GUCCACGCCGUAAACUAUGGAUGCUAGCUGUUGGUCGUAUCGACCCGAUCAGUAGCGAAGCUAACGCGUUAAGCAUCCCGCCUGUGGAGUACGAGCGCAAGCUUAAAACAUAAAGGAAUUGACGGGGACCCGCACAAGCGGUGGAGCGUGUUGUUUAAUUCGAUGAUAAGCGAAGAACCUUACCCAGAUUUGACAUCCUUGGAAAGACUACGAAAGUAGACUGUGUCUUCGGAAGCCAAGUGACAGGUGUUGCAUGGCCGUCGU